GGAAGGGUGACCGAGUGGUUGAUGGUACCGGUCUUGAAAACCGGCGUAGCUAAAACUACCGCGAGUUCGAAUCUCGCCCCUUCCGCCA
rnacentral:tRNA from 1 species